rnacentral:rRNA from 1 species
UACAUAGGGUGCGAGCGUUAAUCGGAAUUACUGGGCGUAAAGCGUGCGCAGGCGGUUUUGUAAGUCUGUCGUGAAAUCCCCGGGCUCAACCUGGGAAUUGCGAUGGAGACUGCAAGGCUAGAAUCUGGCAGAGGGGGGUAGAAUUCCACGUGUAGCAGUGAAAUGCGUAGAGAUGUGGAGGAACACCGAUGGCGAAGGCAGCCCCCUGGGUCAAGAUUGACGCUCAUGCACGAAAGCGUGGGGAGCAAACAGG